UUGUAAUUUGAAGAUYGUAACCUUGGGGUUGGCUCUYGUCUAUGUUUCUUGGAACAGGACGUCACAGAGGGUGAGAAUCCCGUGCGAUGAGAUGCCCAAUUCUAUGUAAGGUGCUUUCGAAGAGUCGAGUUGUUUGGGAAUGCAGCUCUAAGUGGGUGGUAAAUUCCAUCUAAAGCUAAAUAUUGGCGAGAGACCGAUAGCGAACAAGUACAKUGAYGGAAAGAUGAAAAGAACUUUGAAAAGAGAGUGAAAAAGUACGUGAAAUUGUUGAAAGGGAAGGGUUUGAGAUCAGACUCGAUAUUUUGUGAGCCUUGCYUUCGUGGCGGGGUGACCCGCAGCUUAUCGGGCCAGCAUCGGUUUGGGCGGUAGGAUAAUGGCGUAGGAAUGUGACUUUACUUCGGUGAAGUGUUAUAGCCUGCGUUGAUGCUGCCUGCCUAGACCGAGGACUGCGAUYUUAUCAAGGAUGCUGGCAUA
rnacentral:rRNA from 1 species